rnacentral:tRNA from 1 species
ACCCCCGUAGCUCAGCGAACAGAGUGUCCGGCUACGAACCGGAAGGUCGGGAGUUUGAAUCUCUCCGGGGGUGCCA